UAAAAGUUAUUAAAAUGUUGGGUUGUGCUGUGGUGGCGCAGGGGUUAAGCACAACCCACAUAUAAAGGCCCUAGUCCUCAACGCGACCGUCGCAGGUUCGAUUCCCAGCCUAGAGACCUUUGCUGCAUGUCUUCCCUUCUCUCAUUACAUCACUUUCCUGUCAAUUAACUAUCAAAUAAAGGCCACUAGAGCCAGUGAAACCUUUUUAAAAAAAGAAUGUCAUUGCAGUGCUCAUUUUUAAUUUAAAGGCAUUCCGUUUCUUGUGUGAUGUACUCAAAACUCUCCUUAAAAUUUAUUUGCAUUUCUUGAAUUUGUCCAAAUUUUGUCACAUAGACACCAAAGUCAAUUUGUUUUAUUUGGAUUUCAUGAAAUAGACCAUCAUAAAAAUAAUUUGUUAAAUUAAAGUAAUGCAAGGCUUUGGAGGAUUGGUGAAGGAACAACAUCAUGAAGACCAAAGAACACGACAGCUUAAGGCUAGAGUCAGUUGAGACAAUCUGUUAACAGAACAGCCAAAUCUUGUGCUCCACAAAAUCUGGCCUUAAGAAACAGUGGCAAGAAUCAAUCCAGUCAAAGGAGGGUCAUAUGAACACCUGCAUAAACUUUGCCACAAACCGUUAAGGACAAAGCAAACAGGUGGAAGAUGGUGCUGUGGUCAGAUUAAACUAAAAUAAAACUUUGGGCAACAUUUAAAAUGGCCAUGUCUAGCAAAAAGUAACAACACACAUCACUGCAAACACACCAUCCCAAUCGGGACACAUGGAUGUUCCUAGGAUGAUGAUAUGAGCUGAGCCUUAUUUAAAAUAAUAAUAAAGCAAGUUGAGAUAUUGUUGGUAAAUGUUAGGAUGAUGAUAUCAGCUGCGAUUAGUCCAACUUUUCUUCUCCCCUCCAUUCGUGACCUUCAGCAUUUUGGGUUCUGUAAUUCAUGUCCGGUGUUGGCAUUUAAUGAGACUCAAUUAACAGGUGAAUAUUACAACGUAAAUAUUACAUGUGAGCUCCUGACAACUACUGCAGAUCAAAGUUUCGUUUAUAUUAUUUAUUGCACACACUGAUGCUGUGAUGAUGAAGAUAUAUGUGUGUUAAAUUCUGCAGCUCUAGAUGGGAAGUUUUUUUCCCCACCAGAAACUGAUCAGAGCUGACAAGAAGUUGGAGGGAG